GACGAACGCUGGCGGCGUGCCUAAUACAUGCAAGUAGAACGCUGAAGGAGGAGCUUGCUUCUCUGGAUGAGUUGCGAACGGGUGAGUAACGCGUAGGUAACCUGCCUGGUAGCGGGGGAUAACUAUUGGAAACGAUAGCUAAUACCGCAUAAGAGUAGAUGUUGCAUGACAUUUGCUUAAAAGGUGCAAUUGCAUCACUACCAGAUGGACCUGCGUUGUAUUAGCUAGUUGGUGAGGUAACGGCUCACCAAGGCAACGAUACAUAGCCGGCCUGAGAGGGGGAUCGGCCACACUGGGACUGAGACACGGCCCAGACUCCUACGGGAGGCAGCAGUAGGGAAUCUUCGGCAAUGGACGGAAGUCUGACCGAGCAACGCCGCGUGAGUGAAGAAGGUUUUCGGAUCGUAAAGCUCUGUUGUAAGAGAAGAACGAGUGUGAGAGUGGAAAGUUCACACUGUGACGGUAUCUUACCAGAAAGGGACGGCUAACUACGUG
rnacentral:rRNA from 1 species